GUCCGCACGGUAAACGAUGGAUGCCCGCCGUGUGCCCUUGAGGUACGCGGCCAAGCGAAAGCAUUAAGCAUCCCACCUGGGGAGUACGCCGGCAACGGUGAAACUCAAAGGAAUUGACGGGGGCCCGCACAAGCGGAGGAACAUGUGGUUUAAUUCGAUGAUACGCGAGGAACCUUACCCGGGCUUGAACUGCAGAGGAAAUGCCAGGAGACUGGCGUGCCCUUCGGGGUCUCUGUGGAGGUGCUGCAUGGUUGUCGU
rnacentral:rRNA from 1 species